CCUACGGGAGGCAGCAGUGAGGAAUAUUGGACAAUGGGGGAAACCCUGAUCCAGCCAUGCCGCGUGAAUGAUGAAGGCCUUAGGGUUGUAAAGUUCUUUCAACGGUGAAGAUAAUGACGGUAGCCGUAGAAGA
rnacentral:rRNA from 1 species